GUAGGUGGCAAGCGUUGUCCGGAAUUAUUGGGCGUAAAGCGCGCGCAGGUGGUUCUUUAAGUCUGAUGUGAAAGCCCCCGGGCUCAACCGGGGAGGGUCAUUGGAAACUGGGGAACUUGAGUGCAGGAGAGGAAAGUGGAAUUCCACGUGUAGCGGUGAAAUGCGUAGAUAUGUGGAGGAACACCAGUGGCGAAGGCGACUUUCUGGCCUGUAACUGACACUGAGGCGCGAAAGCGUGGGGAGCAAACAGGAUUAGAUACCCUGGUAGUCCACGCCGUAAACAAUGAGUGCUAAGUGUUGGGGGGUUUCCGCCCCUCAGUGCUGCAGCUAACGCAUUAAGCACUCCGCCUGGGGAGUACGGUCGCAAAGACUG
rnacentral:rRNA from 1 species